CAGCCGCCACGGGAAUACGAAGGGUGCAAGCGUUACUCGGAAUUACUGGGCGUAAAGCGUGCGUAGGUGGUGGUUUAAGUCCGUUGUGAAAGCCCUGGGCUCAACCUGGGAAUUGCAGUGGAUACUGGGUCACUAGAGUGUGGUAGAGGAUAGUGGAAUUUCCGGUGUAGCAGUGAAAUGCGUAGAGAUCGGGAGGAACAUCAGUGGCGAAGGCGGCCAUCUGGGACAACACUGACGCUGAGGCACGAAAGCGUGGGGAGCAAACAGGAUUAGAUACCCCCGUAGUCCCUGUCUCUUAUAA
rnacentral:rRNA from 1 species